UGGACCAGCCAAUGGGUGUCCUUUCUCUGUUAAAUUCUGUUAGGCCUCAGUUUCUGUUAUGUCAGAUGGAGAUUAAAGGUAUAAAGAGGGAUGAUUUAUGCAGUAAAGCCAUCUUCUUUGGAUGUCGCUUUGUUCCCCAUUGCUACACAGUUUCAACACAGGUUGGGGAAAAAAAGAGAAAGUUGAAAUACUUGGAAGCACUGGUGAAUGAAAAGAUAGCCAUGACCCAGCAAUGUGCCCUUGCAGCCUGGAAAACAGCUGCACCCUGGGCUGCAUCCAAAAACACGUGGCCAGCACAGCAUGAUUCUGCCCCUGUACUCUGCACCGGUGUGACCACCUGGAGUGCUGCAUCCCGCUCUGGAGUUCCCAGUGGAGAAACACAUGGACCGGUUUGAACAGGUCCAGAGAAGGGCUGCAAAAAUGAUCAAAGGGCUUGAACAGCUCUUCUGUGAGGACACACUGAGAGAUCUGGGCUUGUUUUGCCUAUAGUGAUAAGUUAAGUAACUUGGCACUUUAAAUGAAGCUGCUAAUCUGAGGUUCAUGGCAUGAUCCUCAGUGAGUUCCAACAGAGCAUCUGUUCGUGCUUUCUAUGCUAUUGCAGCCUUCCUGCACCUCUGAACUGUUGCCCUGGAGUACAGCUCCUCUGCAUGCCUCUAUUAUGUGAAAAGAAAUAAAGCAAGAGAAGGAGAGUAUCCAGCCCUCUCUGAAGACAUAUUCACCCACUGUUUAUUCAAGAGGCAGCUUUUUUCAAGAACUCCCCCUGUGUAUGAUGGCAUCCUUAUCUGAAAUAUUGACCUUCUGAUAGCCUCUGUUAGAGGCCAGGACACCCACUGAGUGAAAGAAAGGUGUACUCAGCUGUCUGACAAACCAGCCCUGAGUCUGCAAGUCUCCCCAUGCAACCACUGAAGUUGUUCCACGCUUCUCACUCACAAUAGGGCGUAUGGGAUCAGGAUUCAGAUGAAGCCUGCAAUGUUACCACUGAUGCUCAGAGGGAAUUUUCAUCUGAUUUCUGUAAAUUUGAAAUGCCAGGUUUGUACUUCAAGGAAAAGAAAAAAAAAAAAAAGAAAAAAGGAUAAGAAAAGAACCAAGAUCCUUUGCCAUAUCCAAGAGGUUAAAGAGCUGACAUGUGUGUUCCUUACCUUUGCUAUUGGACCUAAUAUUUUUCUUUGGUGAGGAUUACUAGUUCAUUUUAAAUGUGAAAACAUUUCAAUAUUUGAGUAAUGACAGGACUUUAGGAGCAGCAAUGGUAAAAAAUCUUUGUUUGUUAGCCAGGAAUUAAUUGACAUCUUCAGAAAGUAUCCCUUAAGGACUGUCUUCACUGGGUAUGGUUCCUGAUGUAGAAAUUACCAGAAAAGUUUUUCAAUGGUUUUUCCAUCUCAGCAAAUACUCCUGUGUAGAUGCAGCUAAAGUUGUCAUUAUAUUCUUAUGGUUUUCUGUAGAAUGCUUGUAUUUAUUGUUCAGCUGUGUCACCAGUAUGGACAUGUGUCUAUAACACUACAGAAAUUUCCUACAUGGCAAGCAUUUAGGGACCACUGAAAAGCAGGGAGUUUGGAGCUCUGAUUGUCACUGCUCUGAGAGUGAACCACCCGCCCUGUGCAGCAAGAGCCUCUCUGCAACAGAGCAUAGUUCAGCUUGCCAUUACUAGUUCCCCCCCAGAUCCAAGACUGGCACUAAGGGGGGAUCAGUCUCACUGUUACAGUUUUUUAUUUUACAGACAUCACUGGGUUCUCCGACACUUUUCCAUCAGUCUUGAAAGUCUGAAAGGGAUUAGUGAUAAACCUACACCUGUACUUCAGUGCAAGCUGCUUUCAUUGAUACCUACUGCACUGUGGACUAUCAUCAGACAUUGUACUUGCUAUGUCAUGUUUGGUUGAAUAUGGAGUAUAUGGCUGGCUACUUGACUGCAGAAACUUCUAGGAAGUAGGGGAAGGAAUUGUAGAAAGAGAAACAACUACAACAACAAUAACAAUA